rnacentral:ncRNA from 1 species
CCGCAGGGGUGCCGCUUAAUAUGCGGCUGAGACAGCGUUUUAUAACUCUGAACCCUUAUACCUGAUACGGAUAAUGCCGUCGUAGGAAGUUUGUUU